rnacentral:rRNA from 1 species
GUAUGAAUGGCAAAACAAAACCAACUGUCUCUUAGUUCUAAUCAAUGAAACUAAUCUUCCCGUGCAGAAACGGGAAUAUAAAUAUAAGACGAGAAGACCCUAUGGAGCUUUAAACAUAAACUACCUAUUUAUACUAAACUACUCAAAAGAUUAAACUGUAUAGUUCUUAGCAUUAGCCUAAGUUUUUGGUUGGGGCGACCACGGAAUAUAAAGUAACUUCCGAGAUGAACUGCAUUAGAACUUACAGUUCAAUGAAUAAAAAAUUUAAUCAUAAUUGACCCAAUUUUUGAUCAACGAACCAAGUUACCCUAGGGAUAACAGCGCAAUCCUUUCUGAGAGUCCUUAUCGACGAAUGGGUUUACGACCUCGAUGUUGGAUCAGNACACCCAAAUGGUGCAANAGCCNUUAAAGGUUCGUUUGUU